UCUAACAUAUAUUAGUGCAUUUAAUCAAGAUUAGGGGAUAUUCUAUGGUCGCAACAGAAAACAUUAUUCAUGAUUUGCAAAAUUCGCAAAUAUAAAACACAGUUGGAUUAUAAAGUGUAUAAUCAUUUGUUUAUAUUCAAAACGGUUAAACCCACUUUGUGGAUAAUCUCAAUUUCAGACGAUAGCAAGUAAAGCAAGUAAAGUAAAAAAGGACUGUGUGCAUGUUGAACUGUAACCGCUACCACGAUACUCUAAAUACUAUACUCUAAAUACUAUCUAAAUACUCUAAAGUGAUGUAAUCGCCAAUUCUAAUAAGUGCCAGUUAAUUUCCCUUUCUAUACAAACUUGCCCUGUGUUGGUAAUAAUCUAUCCAGAAACAAUCGUUACUAAUCAAUAGGAAACGGUUGCACGUUUCCUAUUGGUCGUGAUAGCGGUACCAGUAAAGGUAACUGUAAACUUGUAGUGUAACAG